GUCUACAGCCACGCUACCUUGAACAAGCCCAAUCCCGUCUGAUCUUGGAAGCUAAGCAGGGUUGGGCCUCGUUAGUACCUGGAUGGGAGACCACCUAGGAAGAACAGGUGCUGUAGGCA
rfam:Pteropus alecto contig162962, whole genome shotgun sequence.